CAGCCGCCCGCCGCCGCCUCGCGCAGACCCACGGGCGUCGCUCCGCCGGGUGGCCGUGGGCCCCGCGCCCGGGCACCCGCCUGCUUCUCCCGGGCUGCGCCUGAGGCUGUCCCCGGGCCUCGUCCACCCCGGACGGCCAGCGGGUCCCUGCCCCGCGCUCCUGUCGCCUGCUCCCGGCCCUGCCUGCGCCCCACCCGCCCAGAGUCCCGCCGUCCCUCGGCCUGGGUGACCCGUGCGGUGGCCGACGCGGGGCCGGCUGUGGAUCGCCACCCGGCUGGACCCUGCCGUCUCCGUCCUCCGCGAGGCCACCCGCCUCCACCCCGGAGGCCGCCCGAUCGCGGGGACCACGGAAUGGGUUUCUGAGGAAGACACUGCAGGAGCAGGUAACUAGGUCCUGUCGCUGUCCCCGGGCAGGACAACUUCUC
rnacentral:lncRNA from 1 species